rnacentral:tRNA from 1 species
CGCGGGGUGGAGCAGUCUGGUAGCUCGACAGGCUCAUAACCUGUAGGUCAUUGGUUCAAAUCCAGUCCCCGCAA